rnacentral:rRNA from 1 species
CAUGCAAGUCGAGGGGCAGCAUGGUCUUAGCUUGCUAAGGCCGAUGGCGACCGGCGCACGGGUGAGUAACACGUAUCCAACCUGCCGUCUACUCUUGGACAGCCUUCUGAAAGGAAGAUUAAUACAAGAUGGCAUCAUGAGUCCGCAUGUUCACAUGAUUAAAGGUAUUCCGGUAGACGAUGGGGAUGCGUUCCAUUAGAUAGUAGGCGGGGUAACGGCCCACCUAGUCUUCGAUGGAUAGGGGUUCUGAGAGGAAGGUCCCCCACAUUGGAACUGAGACACGGUCCAAACUCCUACGGGAGGCAGCAGUGAGGAAUAUUGGUCAAUGGGCGAGAGCCUGAACCAGCCAAGUAGCGUGAAGGAUGACUGCCCUAUGGGUUGUAAACUUCUUUUAUAAAGGAAUAAAGUCGGGUAUGCAUACCCGUUUGCAUGUACUUUAUGAAUAAGGAUCGGCUAACUCCGUGCCAGCAGCCGCGGUAAUACGGAGGAUCCGAGCGUUAUCCGGAUUUAUUGGGUUUAAAGGGAGCGUAGAUGGAUGUUUAAGUCAGUUGUGAAAGUUUGCGGCUCAACCGUAAAAUUGCAGUUGAUACUGGAUAUCUUGAGUGCAGUUGAGGCAGGCGGAAUUCGUGGUGUAGCGGUGAAAUGCUUAGAUAUCACGAAGAACUCCGAUUGCGAAGGCAG